GAAAGAAAGAAAGAAAGAAAGCAACAAGCAACAAACUGAAUUAUCAUUUUCAUCAUAUUACAUAUUAUAGCAAUAACUGUAGCACAUUUUGCAAUUGCGUCGAACUCCUUGAGGUAUCACUCAUUUCAAGAUUUGAGGAAAAUUUAUAUUCUCACUCUGCUGCCAGAGUCUCAGCCACCGGUUUAACCUGGUCUUGCUUGUCAAGUUGGCUAAAAUUUCCCUUCUCCUUAAAGAGUUGGUUGUGAUGGUGCCUACAAUAGAGACGAUGCUCAUGGGCUACAUAGUUUGAUGGGCUGAUUACACAGCCUCCAUGAGCGCACCUGAAACAUGCCUUGUGAUAUGAUGUCCCGUCGACUGCCACCUGAAAGAAGCAGAAAGUUGGAUUAAAGCACCAUGCAAAACAACAAUGUCCUACUAUUUUUCCACGACUUCAGAAUUAUGUCUAUUCGCCUUAGAAAAUCAAGAAAACAAAGGGAAAGUUUGCUAAGACUGGAAUUUUUUGAACUUCAGCAUCAGUAUCUGCAUGUAAGUUUCAUUGUGUACAGUACAGAAGCAUAUGACUCAAAUUUAUUGACCCACAAGUGUAUAGCUUGUAGGCCAACCCACAGUUGUUGCUCUUUUCUUCAAGCUUUAAUCAAACUUUAACAUUGAGUUCCUAGAUUGUUUUUCCAAUAUUCAACUCCAUUUACAUUAGUUAUGCUCAGAGAACUAGUAAACAAUCCAGAGCAUUUGAGCAGAUUAUUACUGAAUUUAACAGGUUGAUUGUCUAUUAUCUUUCCACUAAGCCCUAAAAGAGGUAAAAUUAGCUGUGGUAAAUUGAGGUCUAGUUUCCUAAUACAAAUUAUUUCUAUAGUCCUAACUACUACAGAUUUAAAGCUGAUAGUCCCAUGCAAAUAAACAAGAAAUUUGGAUUGAAAAUGGUGGAAGUUAAGGUAGUUUUUUAGCAUUUUUAGAACAACAUUCUAUUUUUGAAAAACAAAAAAAUGUAUGUGGACCAGAUUCAGUCACUGUUUUCAUGAAACAACAUAAUGACUUGUCAUGUUGCCAGAAUCAUAAAAUCAUUGAAAAAUAAAAACACUCUUUCAUUAAUUUUAGGCUCACAAAUUGCUCAAACAAUACGAUUUUGCACUGUAUAGCAGCACAUAAUACGACCACAUCAACUUGCCACAAUUACCUUUUCAAGGGGAUAAACUGUUUUCUUGCAAGCAACACAUUUAUCCUGAGUUCCAGCAAACAUGCUUGAAACUUUGGUGUUGCUAUGGACCUGAUCGGCAGAUCUGUUAACAGUUUUAGGAGUGCCUUCAAAGCUUUUAUCCAAGCUUCCAGUCAUCUUAAAUAGUUGAUCAAAGUGUGGCUUGCAAUACAAAACACCUUCAAAGGAGGAGUAAUUACUCAGCUUAAGGGUACCCUUACAGUGGUGGCACCUGAAACAAGCCUUGUGAUAGACUUUGUUGUCAGCAGUAAGCUGAUCCACCAAGUACACCGUCUUCUCACAUGCCUUACACUUCUGGGUUGUCCCUGCAAAUGUUGCCAUAUUUGAUCAAUCUCCUUCACUUUCUCUUUCUCUCUCUCCAACACCCAAAUAGUUAUCAGCUGAAUCAGGAGAUAAAGAGAAGACUUCAAAAUUC
rnacentral:misc_RNA from 1 species